rnacentral:tRNA from 1 species
GGAAGUGCCUAGCGGACUGGUGUCCCUCGCGGUCUUCAAAAUCGUCGGAUCCGCUGUCAAGCGGCGGAUCGGUGGGUUCGAUUCCCAUGCACUUCCGCCA